CUGCUUAAAAGCCUCCAAAAGCCUCCACCAUCUCCCAAGGGAUACUCUUCCACUUGCAGGCUUAGGUACAUCAUCACACCUGCAGCCCACAAGAUGUGUCACUUGUGAAAAUGACUUAUGUCGACUGCUCAAAGGAAAGAAAAUGAGAGAAAUUGCAAGGUGGAAAUGGCUUUAAAGAUGUAAAGUUUACUUCAUAUACAGCACGUAAGUGGCGUGAAACCUACAUUAUCCUUGGUGCUGUUAAGAUAACAAAGGCAAUCCAGGUAAAUGCGUUUUCGACUGAGCGGCCUUAUCUGUCCUGAUUGUGCUGGGGUUUCUGCUAAGUGUGACUGUGAACGAUAAUUGCUAUCAUGUGUUACCUGAGAUUACAGGGUUGCUUUCCAACUAAUGACACUAGAAGAACCAGGCCGUUGUUAAUAUUUAAUCAAACUCCUGGCUUAACAAUUGGAUAAAUGAGGUGUGUAAUUACAUAAUUAUAAAGAGACACAUUCCAGAUAAGAACUCGGCUGUUCUUAACACUGAAAGUGA